GCUGGGCAUGGUGGCACAUGCCUGUAAUCCCAGCUACUCAGGAGGCUGAGGCUGGAGAAUUGCUUGAAUCCGGGAGGCGGAGGUUGCUGUGGGCCGAGAUCAUGCCACUGCACUCCAGCCUGGGUGAUAGAGCAAGACUCAGUCUCAA
rfam:Gorilla gorilla gorilla genomic chromosome, chr11, whole genome shotgun sequence